ACUGCGGAGGGAUCAUUACACAAAUAUGAAGGCGGGCUGGAACCUCUCGGGGUUACAGCCUUGCUGAAUUAUUCACCCUUGUCUUUUGCGUACUUCUUGUUUCCUUGGUGGGUUCGCCCACCACUAGGACAAACAUAAACCUUUUGUAAUUGCAAUCAGCGUCAGUAACAAAUUAAUAAUUACAACUUUCAACAACGGAUCUCUUGGUUCUGGCAUCGAUGAAGAACGCAGCGAAAUGCGAUAAGUAGUGUGAAUUGCAGAAUUCAGUGAAUCAUCGAAUCUUUGAACGCACAUUGCGCCCUUUGGUAUUCCAAAGGGCAUGCCUGUUCGAGCGUCAUUUGUACCCUCAAGCUUUGCUUGGUGUUGGGCGUCUUGUCUCUAGCUUUGCUGGAGACUCGCCUUAAAGUAAUUGGCAGCCGGCCUACUGGUUUCGGAGCGCAGCACAAGUCGCACUCUCUAUCAGCAAAGGUCUAGCAUCCAUUAAGCCUUUUUUUCAACUUUUGACCUCGGAUCAGGUAGGGAUACCCGCUGAACUUAAGCAUAUCAAUA
rnacentral:rRNA from 1 species